rnacentral:rRNA from 1 species
GCUGCUUAUACAUGCAAGUCGAGCGGACAGAUGGGAGCUUGCUCCCUGAUGUUAGCGGCGGACGGGUGAGUAACACGUGGGUAACCUGCCUGUAAGACUGGGAUAACUCCGGGAAACCGGGGCUAAUACCGGAUGGUUGUUUGAACCGCAUGGUUCAAACAUAAAAGGUGGCUUCGGCUACCACUUACAGAUGGACCCGCGGCGCAUUAGCUAGUUGGUGAGGUAACGGCUCACCAAGGCAACGAUGCGUAGCCGACCUGAGAGGGUGAUCGGCCACACUGGGACUGAGACACGGCCCAGACUCCUACGGGAGGCAGCAGUAGGGAAUCUUCCGCAAUGGACGAAAGUCUGACGGAGCAACGCCGCGUGAGUGAUGAAGGUUUUCGGAUCGUAAAGCUCUGUUGUUAGGGAAGAACAAGUACCGUUCGAAUAGGGCGGUACCUUGACGGUACCUAACCAGAAAGCCACGGCUAACUACGUGCCAGCAGCCGCGGUAAUACGUAGGUGGCAAGCGUUGUCCGGAAUUAUUGGGCGUAAAGGGCUCGCAGGCGGUUUCUUAAGUCUGAUGUGAAAGCCCCCGGCUCAACCGGGGAGGGUCAUUGGAGACUGGGGAACUUGAGUGCAGAAGAGGAGAGUGGAAUUCCACGUGUAGCGGUGAAAUGCGUAGAGAUGUGGAGGAACACCAGUGGCGAACGCGACUCUCUGGUCUGUAACUGACGC